GCGAGGGUGGUGUAGUGGUUAAGAGCUGUAGACUUGUAAUCUGAUGAACCGGGUUCACAUCCCCGCUCCUCCACAUGCA